GGUAGUAGAGGAGAGGAACCGGCGGAGAGUUCGAAGGUAGUAUGGACAGGUACAGCGAAGGAUGACCGAUCAUUCAUCUUGAAUCCAGAGUUGAAACAUGGCAGAGGAGAGCUUCGGAUUUGAUUGUCUGAAGCUCUGUGUCCUAUUCCGUAUCUGACGACCGAUGAGCUUGCUGAGAGCAUCAACCGACCUAAAGGAGUUAGCGUGGAGGCGAGAGUUCCGUUUGUUCCAUAGCCAGUAGAGAGUAGCUUGCCAAGCAAGAAGAGUAAGGAGCCUUUGCGGUCGCCGUGAUUUCUGCCUUGGCAGCGAUUGCAUCUGCCGCAGUGUUUGAUCCCAUUGUCUGAGUGGUUGCAGGGAGCAUUGCCUGGCGAUAAGUUCCCAUAGAUCAUAGCUAAAAGGGCAGAGGAAGUAGAUGUGAUCACGAGAUUCGUUGGCACUGUUGCAUAGGAGACAGAGCGGAGAGACAGGGAGGCCCCAAUUUAGAAGCCUAUCUCUCGUCGGACACCUAUCAAGCACAACCAGCCAAGAGUGAAAUUGUUGCCUAGGGAUCCCAUAAGAGAACCAAAUCGCUGGAGCCCAUGAGACCUCAUCAAUCACACCUCGCAAAUAGGUACGCAUGGAGGAGUAGUUGAGGUUCUGAUCUCGCUGCAGGGAGGUGCCAUGCUCCUCUUCUAUAAAGCGACGCCACCAUUGCCUUGUCUGAGAUUCCUAGUCUUGAAACAUAGUUGUUCAGCGCUUGCGCCAGACUCCCAAAAGGUGACCAGUUGUCGUGCCAGAACCGAGCUGCCCUUCCAUCUUCCAGUCGAAGUUUGAUCAACGGGAAGACCACCGUUUUAAGCUUAAGAAGCUUGUUUGCCAACCAUGAGUAUGAGGAGCUCGGCUUCGUGGUCCAGUAGUUAUGAAUAGAACCUUUGAGAACUCUAUCUCUGAACCAAGCCACCCACACCGAUCCAGCUUUGAAGAAGAGCAACCAAAUGAGUCUAAUACAGCAAGCAAGGUUCCAAGUUUGAAGAUCUUUAAUUCCCAGCCCUCCCUGCUCCUUAAGCACCAGAAGGUUGUUAUGCCUGAGAUUACAGUCUUGAUCAGGAGCAAGCGACCAGCAAAUGAAAGAGUCUUUACCGUCCAUGAAGAGAGGCGCUUUUUUAUUUGAUGAAGCAAUGGCUCACAGGUGACAGCGUUCAGUUUCUUUGAGUUUAGGGGAACACCAAGAUAGCGGACCGGCAGCGUUCCACAUACUAUUCCAGUUGAGGCUUGAAUCGUGUAUAUCUCGGCGUCCGAUAGUCCUGAGGCAUAGAAGCUUGUCUUCUGCAAACUGACCUUGAGUCCCGACCUUUGCUCAAAC